AUGGCAGGACAUGCAGUCGCGGCUGACAAUACCGAAAGGUGUCAGGCGAGGAAAGUCCGGGCUUCACAGGGCAGGAUGCCGGAUAACGUCCGGCGGAGGCAACUCCCGGGAAAGCGCAACAGAAAACAACCGCCUGGUCUCUUCGGAGAUCGGGUAAGGAUGAAAAGGCAGUGUAAGAGACUACCGCGUCUGUAGUAAUACAGACGGCAUAUGCAAGCCCCAUCCGAAGCAAGACCGAACAGAAGCGAUACGAUAGCCCGUCGUGCUUCAGGUAGGUCGCUCGAUCUUACCGGCGACGGUAAGGCUAGAUAGAUGACUGCACACGACAGAACCCGGCUUAUCGUUCUGCCAUUUUG
rnacentral:RNase_P_RNA from 1 species